UGCGCAGGCGGGGAUGUAAGUCAGUGGUGAAAUACUGCCGCUCAACGGUAGAACUGCCGUUGAUACUGCAUCUCUUGAGUAUGGUUGAGGUAGGCGGAAUGUGUUGUGUAGCGGUGAAAUGCAUAGAUAUGACACAGAACGCCAAUUGCGAAGGCAGCUUACUAAACCAUUACUGACGCUGAGGCACGAAAGCGUGGGGAGCGAACAGGAUUAGAUACCCUGGUAGUCC
rnacentral:rRNA from 1 species